UACAGAGGGUGCAAGCGUUAAUCGGAAUUACUGGGCGUGAAGCGCGCGUAGGUGGUUCGUUAAGUUGGAUGUGAAAUCCCCGGGCUCAACCUGGGAACUGCAUUCGAGACUGCAUAGCUUGAGUAUGGGAGAGGGAGGCGGAAUUUCCGGUGUAGCGGUGAAAUGCGUAGAUAUCGGAAGGAACAUCAGUGGCGAAAGCGGCCUCCUGGACCAAUACUGACGCUCAUGUGCGAAAGCGUGGGGAGCAAACAGG
rnacentral:rRNA from 1 species